rnacentral:rRNA from 1 species
UACGAAGGGGACUAGCGUUGUUCGGAAUCACUGGGCGUAAAGGGCGCGUAGGCGGCCGCUCAAGUCGGGGGUGAAAGCCUGUGGCUUAACCACAGAAUUGCCUUCGAUACUGUUUGGCUUGAGACCGGAAGAGGUUAGUGGAACUGCGAGUGUAGAGGUGAAAUGCGUAGAUAUCUGGAGGAAUACCGGUGGCGAAGGCGGCAUCCUGGACCGACAUUGACGCUGAACGGCGAAAGCUAGGGGAGCAAACGGG